rnacentral:rRNA from 1 species
CCUACGGGAGGCAGCAGUGAGGAAUAUUGGUCAAUGGACGAGAGUCUGAACCAGCAAAGUAGCGUGAAUGAUGACUGCCCUAUGGGUUGUAAACUUCUUUUGUAAAGGAAUAAAACGAGGCACGUGUGCCUUUUUGCUUGUACUUUAUGAAUAAGGAUCGGCUAACUCCGUUCCAUCAGCCGCGGUAAUACGGAGGAUCCGAGCGUUGUCCGGAUUUAUUGGGUUUAAAGGGAGCGUAGAUGGGUUGUUAAGUCAGUUGUGAAAGUUUGCGGCUCAACCGUAAAAUUGCAAUUGAUACUGGCAGUCUUGAGUACAGUUGAGGUAGGCGGAAUUCGUGGUGUAGCGGUGAAAUGCUUAGAUAUAACGAAGAACCCCGAUUGCGAAGGCAGCUUACUAAACUGUGACUGACAUUGAUGCUCGAAAGUGUGGGUAUCAAACAGGAUUAGAUACCCUUGUAGUC